rnacentral:lncRNA from 1 species
GCUCAGAUUCCUUAAGAGCAGGAUAUUAUAACCACACUGAUGCACUUUUCCAGAGACGGGUGUAUGUUUUUUCCAGAAUCAAAAUUAUGCUUUUCCUGGGGAAUCCAUGCAAUGGGAAUGGGAGGGUCAGUUCUCGGACUUGCAGAUCUAGGUCUCUGAUGCAGACAGGAGAUGAGAAAAGGGCGUGUGACUCAAUGAGAUAUUAUGUUUCAAAUUCCAAACUCCUAGGAAGUUUUAUUUAUCAGCACAGGCUUGCACUGUGCGGUCAGCUAGAAGAAUGCAGGACCGAUUUUGUCAUCAGGGAGGGGGAGGGACCGAGUGAAGCCAUCAGGAUGCCUCACUUCAAAAUAACGCCAAUAGCUGAUGAUGCAUGGAUACAUGCAGUGUCUCCCAGUGAUGAUAUUCUCAGCAAGACUCCGCCUCCUGCUUUCAGAGUGUACCCAGAAACCCGUCUAUACCUUUCAGGAUGUUCUGGCACUCUGGGACCUGGCCUCCAGAUAAUCUCUGCUCCUUGGCAAAGGCUUAUGGACUCUUUAUCUGGCCACAGGCCCACGAUCAAUCUAGAGAAAGAAGAAACUGAUAUAAUAACUCAUCAAAACAACUAGGGACAUCAGAAAGAAGAAAAAGAUGGAUGAAGAACGUGGUAUCAGAGCUAUGCUUUGAGGGAAUUCUAUGAAGAGGAAAAGAGAAAGUGUAUUCUAGACAUGAAGGCCACUGGGCAAAGGUACAGAGAUUGGAAAUGGAAUAUUGUAUUUUGGGGAAUACCUAGUAAAUCAGUU